ACCCAUUUGCAAAAUGAACAGUAACAUAGGUUCAAACUCCAAGGGGAAAAGAGAAGAGAACGGUUGAUUGAGAUAACUCUGAGCACCCAUUACUACUUUUUGCAAAUCUUGAGAAAUCUUGGACGAGGGUUCCAAUCCACUUGCAGCAAUGACGACGCACCGUCUGCCCACCGAACUAACGACCGACAUCUUGCUGAGGUUGCCGGUGAAAUCCCUCUUGCGAUCCAAAUCCGUCUGCAAGAACUGGUAUGAUCUGAUCAAAAGCCCUGUUUUUAUCGCCACACAUCUGACCCAGUUCGCUCUCAACCCUGAUCACAAUUCCACCUCUCUCCUAGUAACCAGUUGCAAUUCUGUAACCGGAAACCAUGGAAUGUCUCUGAUUAUCAACGAUGGGUUUACUCAUGGACCCAUCAAUCUUGAUUUCCCUUUCUUGAAUAGGAGUAAGAAUCUUUGCAUUUGGGAGUUCACUGAGAAGAAAUAUUUCUCUGUUGUGGGUAUCUGUCAUGGCUUGGUUUGCAUAAAUUUGUCUCCCUUCGGGUAUCCCGUGAUCCUGUGCAAUCCCUUGACCAGAGAGUUUCGGGAAAUUCCGAAAUGCGAAUGGCUUCUUGAUUGUGAUUGUUAUGUGAAAGUUAAGUGGGUCGGUUUUGGGUUUGGUUUCCACCCCAGUGCUCGUGAUUACAAGUUGAUUCAGAUUACGCUAUGUUCUAGUCCCGUUCAGGAAGUCGUUAUCCGGGCCCAUCUUUAUGCGAUGGGGACUGAUACUUGGAGAGAAAUCGAUGUCGAUAAGGUUUCCGCGUUCUUUGGGGAGACGGAUGAUUUCGGGAGGAUUGGCAGCUUUGUGCGAAUUUAUGGAUCAUGUGCUUCGGCAGCCUUGAAUGGAGUUUUCUAUUGGCCGGCGCGUGUGAUGCCAACUGAUGAAGUGAUUGUUAUGUCCUUCGACAUGGGCGAGGAGGUGUUCAGAAGAAUAAGAACGCCCGUGUGGUUGGAUUGGAACAAUGAAACUAUGGACGAAUCAAUCGUUCAAGUCAGACGCACCCAUAAAUGGCAAUUUACGGAAUUGAAGGAUAAACUCACUCUAAUUAUUCAUCCUGAUGACACAAGCCUUGAUGUGUGGGUGUUGAAUGAAGACAAGAAUUCUUGGACUAACCAAUUCAAAGUUGGAUCUUUUCCAAGGAUUGCACGCAAUGUGAGAUCUCGGGGGAUUGCUAAAAUUACAGUGGUGGGAGGUGCGAAAAAUGGGGAAUUGGUUGUGGCGAACCAUAAAACUACCGGUGAUUUAGUGCUCUUUUCAUUUGAUCCAAUGACCGUGGAAACUAAGGAUCUUUACUUUGGUAGUGUCCCAUAUCCAUCUGAUAUUCAUUUGUAUUCGGGGGCGCUACUUCCAGUCAAGUUACCCGAUGAAGUUGUUCUUUAACGAGAAAAAAGAAGAAGGAAGCACUGAAUUCACGGAACUGACUAGGUGAGGGCUCAUGUUUCUUAUGCUUUCUCUGGUUAUUUUAGCUGCGGUAGCUUAACUAUGCCUCAUAGUAGUAUCUUUUGAAGCUUUGAUGUAUGUUUUUGGAAUGAAGUGGGUGAUCCUGGACUACAGCAAUUGAAUGUUGGGAUGCAUAUUUUGAAGUAUUGAAAGACAUAAAAAGAAUCUGGCGAUUGAAACCUCUUUUUGGAUCGUCCUGAAAAUGAAGUCAAGCACAACGAUUAGUCGUGCUUUGCAAGAGGAAACAAGGGAAAAUGUAGCACCCUGAAUUCAUGCAACAGACUCCCGUGUCACUCGCGGCUGUGAAUCUUGCUCGUUCUUAUUCGGGUAGUAUAGUAGUAUUCAUUGAAAAUUCAUCUUUUGUACAGUUUAUUACUACAAUGUUUCCCAUUACAAACCUGAAAGGAGAUUUUGGUUUUGUUUCAAUAAGAAUGCCAUUUGACUCAGUUGAGUAUCUAAGUUGAUUUAUAUAUAGAGGAGCCUAUGUUUCAUGUGAA